UAUCAGCACCCCGAGUGGUCGGGACGAUUAUUGGGCCUAAAGCAUCCGUAGCCGGCCUUACAAGUCCUCCGUUAAAUCCAGCUGCUUAACAGAUGGGCUGCGGAGGAUACUAUAAGACUAGGAGGCAGGAGAGGCAAGCGGUACUCAGUGGGUAGGGGUAAAAUCCGUUGAUCCAUUGAAGACCACCAGUGGCGAAGGCGGCUUGCCAGAAUGCGCUCGACGGUGAGGGAUGAAAGCUGGGGGAGCAAACCGG
rnacentral:rRNA from 1 species